rnacentral:tRNA from 1 species
AAAAUUAAAAGUAUACAUCUAUAUCACUUUCUA